CUUUAUAAUUAUUAUUGUUUUACAGAGACAUCUACUGACAUAGACGAGGACUUCCCAAUCUAGAACUCGUGGAGUUGAUUGUACUGGAAAAGGUGGAGAUGAACCAACAUUGAUUACAGAUAUUUUCAGCCAUUAAUUUUAUAUUGUAAGGAUGAGCAUCUGCCAGGAGCCCGCCCUUAAUUUGUAUCAAUUGUACUGGUUGGUAUUAGUUAUGUACUUUAUUGUGUACAUGCAGUGGCUUGUGACCACUACAUGUGUAAAAUUUUACUACAACUUUACAUCAGUACUUUUGCAAUCUUAUACUAGUACUUGGUUUUAAUCACACUGUUGUAUUAGAUGUACAUGAAAGAUUGCCAUUUUCUUUGAUACCA